CCUACGGGAGGCAGCAGUGAGGAAUAUUGGUCAAUGGGCGGGAGCCUGAACCAGCCAAGCCGCGUGAAGGAAGAAUGCGCCAGGCGUUGUAAACUUCUUUUGUCGGGGAACAAAGUGCGCCACGCGUGGCGUUGUGAGUGUACCCGAAGAAAAAGCAUCGGCUAACUCCGUGCCAGCAGCCGCGGUAAUACGGAGGAUUCAAGCGUUAUCCGGAUUUAUUGGGUUUAAAGGGUGCGUAGGCGGUCGGAUAAGUUAGAGGUGAAAUCCCGCGGCUCAACGUCGGAAUUGCCUCUGAUACUGUUAGGAUAGAGAGUAGUUGAGGUAGGCGGAAUGUAUGGUGUAGCGGUGAAAUGCUUAGAGAGCAUACAGAACACCGAUUGCGAAGGCAGCUUACCAAGCUACUUCUGACGUUGAGGCACGAAAGCGUGGGGAGCAAACAGGAUUAGAUACCCUUGUAGUC
rnacentral:rRNA from 1 species